rnacentral:rRNA from 2 species
AAAUUGAAGAGUUUGAUCAUGGCUCAGAUUGAACGCUGGCGGCAGGCCUAACACAUGCAAGUCGAGCGGUAGCACAGAGAGCUUGCUCUCGGGUGACGAGCGGCGGACGGGUGAGUAAUGUCUGGGAAACUGCCUGAUGGAGGGGGAUAACUACUGGAAACGGUAGCUAAUACCGCAUAACGUCGCAAGACCAAAGUGGGGGACCUUCGGGCCUCAUGCCAUCAGAUGUGCCCAGAUG